rnacentral:sRNA from 14 species
UGUAGGUAUGGAGAUCUCGUACCAUUGAGUCCGUUUGGUAAAGUGGUCGGCAGUAUGUGUGCCUUGAUUGGUGUCCUUACAUUGGCUCUUCCAGUACCUAUUAUAGUAAGUUUU